rnacentral:rRNA from 1 species
GUAAGGAAUAUUGCGCAAUGGGCGACAGCCUGACGCAGCGACGCCGCGUGGGGGAUGAAGGUCUUCGGAUUGUAAACCCCUUUCGGCAGGGAAGAUGGAACGGGUAACCGUUCGGACGGUACCUGCAGAAGCAGCCACGGCUAACUUCGUGCCAGCAGCCGCGGUAAUACGAAGGUGGCAAGCGUUGUUCGGAUUUACUGGGCGUACAGGGAGCGUAGGCGGUUGGGUAAGCCCUCCGUGAAAUCUCCGGGCCUAACCCGGAAAGUGCGGAGGGGACUGCUCGGCUAGAGGAUGGGAGAGGAGCGCGGAAUUCCCGGUGUAGCGGUGAAAUGCGUAGAGAUCGGGAGGAAGGCCGGUGGCGAAGGCGGCGCUCUGGAACAUUUCUGACGCUGAGGCUCGAAAGCGUGGGGAGCAAACAGGAUUAGAUACCCUUGUAGUCC